AUUGAACGCUGGCGGCAUGCUUUACACAUGCAAGUCGGACGAGUGGCGAACGGGUGAGUAACGCAUCGGAACGUACCGAGUAAUGGGGGAUAACUGUCCGAAAGGACAGCUAAUACCGCAUAUUAUUCGAGCGGCCGAUGUCUGAUUAGCUGGUUGGCGGGGUAAAGGCCCACAAAGGCGAUGAUCAGUAGCCGGUCUGAGAGGAUGAACGGCCACAUUGGGACUGAGACACGGCCCAGACUCCUACGGGAGGCAGCAGUGGGGAAUCUUCCGCAAUGGACGAAAGUCUGACGGGGCAACGCCGCGUGAGUGAUGACGGCCUUCGGGUUGUAAAGCACUUUCAGCGGGGAGGCGUUACCCGCAGAAGAAGCACCGGCUAACUCCGUGCCAGCAGCCGCGGUAAUAC
rnacentral:rRNA from 1 species